rnacentral:lncRNA from 1 species
CGGGGUGAGCAGCGGGGAGGGGGCCGGAGGGGGCGUGGUCAACGGGAGGCGCGGCGGGCGGGCGGGAGCGCGGCGGCUUCGGCCCUCCUUUCCCUCGACGCGCUCCUCUUGCACGCGCCGGGCAGCCGGGUGCCCGCGCGGGGAGCGUGCGAGUGUGAGCGUGCGUGAGUGACCGCGGUCGUGGUCGUGGCUGCCGCCGCCGCCACCCGGACCGCUCUAGGGGCCCGGCUGCUCCGCGCGUUCGCCUGGGGCUCACGGGGGCCCGGGGCGACCGCUGGUUGGCUCGCGCGCCGCCCUCGCCUCCAAUCCCGGGUGCCUGUCCUAAUUUCCUGAUCCAGGGAACCUGCCGCCGCAGCGGCUGUGCGCUCCCUACAGUCAUUACUGUACCCUCCCGGCAGCCUCCGGCAGAACACGCAGCAGCAGCAGCAGUUAGCGCUGAUGCAACUAUCGUUGCUGUUGCCACCGCCUCCCCACUGACGGGGCGUGCACCUGGGGGGUACUUGCAGUUUCCAGGGGCAACAAGCAUCUCUCUACCACCCUCUCCUGCGCCCCUGAGAGAGGCUGGUAGGUAGCAUCUUCUUCGGGCCUCCUCUAUCCACUCAGAAAGUGAUGAAGCGGAGGGGCUCCAAACGUUUGGGCUGCUCAAAAGUGGGGUUUGGGAUGCCGGUCUCAAUCGCACGCUGAGAUGCCGUUUUGCCGAAAACUAAAUGUGUCUUUAAGUGAGAGAGUGUGUAUGUUUGAAAGAGAGUGCGCGCGGUUGUGGCUGGUCCUCUGUAAUAGAACAAGACUGAAAUAACCCAGCCUGGGAUGAGGAGAAGGGAAAUUGCUAGCGCAGCUUUGCAUUUGCUCAUCAACGAUUAUAGUUAAUUGCUAAUUGCACAAAAUGAUAGUUUGAGGGCCUGUAAUUAAAAGCUUAACCUUUUCUUGUUUGGAAGAGAGGGGCCCCAUACGUUUAUUCCUCUUGAUAUACUUUGUAACAUUCAAUUACAAGAAUCGAGGAAAGAAUAAAGGAAGCAAAGACAAGACUCCUAGAAAGGGUUGGUUCUUCUUUUGUGCCUGACAGUACCUGAGUCUAUAAUUUGCUUUUUGUGUACUUCAGUUUUCUUGCACACUUAGCCCUGGUUGAGGUGCAUUGUCUGCUGUGGUCUGUUGAGCAUCUAACCAGAGUGGGAGGGCACAUCGAGCGAUUUCACUUUCUUAAAUAAAAGGUUUUUGGUAUUUUGAAAAAGUUGUUUUUAUCUUAAUUCAAACUUGGAAGGUUUCAAUAAUAUCAUAUUCUGACUCUAUUCUGUUGGUGAUCUGAAGAGCAGCGGGCACUGCCUCACUGUCUUCUCCUUGCCCUGGUUCUCCUGGAAAUUUGUCAAGGCUAGCAAUCAGAGGAGAUGUUUAUUAGGAACUUACUAUAUCCAGGAGACACACAGGAGAGGAAAAUUCCAGUCAGGAUAGGUUUCUGUGGGCCAAAGAUAUCCUGAUUGUGACUGCUAAGCAUGAAAGGGCUUAACUCUACGUAUGGAUGGUAUCUUGCACUAUAGCUCAUUUUGAAUGCUAUUUUGCCCACCCUGUGGUUACAUAGUUGAUACAAACUGCAGCAGCCACACAGGUUGCAUGUGAAACAACUGAAAUUUGUUUGUAUGACAUUUAGUAGUGAAGAUGCAUGCCGGUGUUAUUCACCUAAUGGCAUUGAGAUGUGAUAGGAAAACCUUAGUGCAUGAUGUCUUUCAUAUUCUCAGGGUUCUGAAAUGCCAUCUGAUGAGCUACUGCUUUACAGAAGAGGAAAGGAGUAGAAGGGAUGGGU